rnacentral:rRNA from 1 species
GAUGAACGCUGGCGGCGUGCCUAAUACAUGCAAGUCGAGCGAACGGACGAGAAGCUUGCUUCUCUGAUGUUAGCGGCGGACGGGUGAGUAACACGUGGAUAACCUACCUAUAAGACUGGGAUAACUUCGGGAAACCGGAGCUAAUACCGGAUAAUAUUUUGAACCGCAUGGUUCAAAAGUGAAAGACGGUCUUGCUGUCACUUAUAGAUGGAUCCGCGCUGCAUUAGCUAGUUGGUAAGGUAACGGCUUACCAAGGCAACGAUGCAUAGCCGACCUGAGAGGGUGAUCGGCCACACUGGAACUGAGACACGGUCCAGACUCCUACGGGAGGCAGCAGUAGGGAAUCUUCCGCAAUGGGCGAAAGCCUGACGGAGCAACGCCGCGUGAGUGAUGAAGGUCUUCGGAUCGUAAAACUCUGUUAUUAGGGAAGAACAUAUGUGUAAGUAACUGUGCACAUCUUGACGGUACCUAAUCAGAAAGCCACGGCUAACUACGUGCCAGCAGCCGCGGUAAUACGUAGGUGGCAAGCGUUAUCCGGAAUUAUUGGGCGUAAAGCGCGCGUAGGCGGUUUUUUAAGUCUGAUGUGAAAGCCCACGGCUCAACCGUGGAGGGUCAUUGGAAACUGGAAAACUUGAGUGCAGAAGAGGAAAGUGGAAUUCCAUGUGUAGCGGUGAAAUGCGCAGAGAUAUGGAGGAACACCAGUGGCGAAGGCGACUUUCUGGUCUGUAACUGACGCUGAUGUGCGAAAGCGUGGGGAUCAAACAGGAUUAGAUACCCUGGUAGUCCACGCCGUAAACGAUGAGUGCUAAGUGUUAGGGGGUUUCCGCCCCUUAGUGCUGCAGCUAACGCAUUAAGCACUCCGCCUGGGGAGUACGACCGCAAGGUUGAAACUCAAAGGAAUUGACGGGGACCCGCACAAGCGGUGGAGCAUGUGGUUUAAUUCGAAGCAACGCGAAGAACCUUACCAAAUCUUGACAUCCUUUGACAACUCUAGAGAUAGAGCUUUCCCCUUCGGGGGACAAAGUGACAGGUGGUGCAUGGUUGUCGUCAGCUCGUGUCGUGAGAUGUUGGGUUAAGUCCCGCAACGAGCGCAACCCUUAAGCUUAGUUGCCAUCAUUAAGUUGGGCACUCUAAGUUGACUGCCGGUGACAAACCGGAGGCAGGUGGGGAUGACGUCAAAUCAUCAUGCCCCUUAUGAUUUGGGCUACACACGUGCUACAAUGGACAAUACAAAGGGCAGCGAAACCGUGAGGUCAAGCAAAUCCCAUAAAGUUGUUCUCAGUUCGGAUUGUAGUCUGCAACUCGACUACAUGAAGCUGGAAUCGCUAGUAAUCGUAGAUCAGCAUGCUACGGUGAAUACGUUCCCGGGUCU